rnacentral:rRNA from 1 species
GACGAACGCUGCGGCGUGCCUAACACAUGCAAGUCGAGCGGAGUCAGUAAGAGGAAGUUUUCGGAUGGAAUCUUAUUGAUUUAGCGACGGACGGGUGAGUAACGCGUGAGCGACCAACCUUGCACAGGGGGAUAACGGACCGAAAGGUUCACUAAUACCGCAUGAGACCACGGUGUUGCAUGACACAGGUGUCAAAGGAGCAAUCCGGUGCAAGACGGGCUCGCGUCCGAUUAGGUAGUUGGAGGGGUAACGGCCCACCAAGCCUAUGAUCGGUAGCCGACCUGGGAGGGUGAUCGGCCACAUUGAAACUGAGAUACGGUCCAAACUCCUACGGGAGGCAGCAGUGGGGAAUAUUGGGCAAUGGGGGAAACCCUGACCCAGCAACGCCGCGUGAAGGAAGAAGGUUUUCGGAUUGUAAACUUCUGUCCUUGGUGAAGAGAAGAAGACGGUAGCCAAGGAGGAAGCCCCGGCUAACUACGUGCCAGCAGCCGCCGUAA